GUGGGGGAUAUUGCACAAUGGGGGAAACCCUGAUGCAGCGACGCCGCGUGGAGGAAGAAGGUCUUCGGAUUGUAAACUCCUGUUGUUGGGGAAGAUAAUGACGGUACCCAACAUGGAAGUGACGGCUAACUACGUGCCAGCAGCCGCGGUAAAAAGUAGGUCACAAGCGUUGUCCGGAAUUACUGGGUGUAAAGGGAGCGCAAGCGGGAAGACAAGUUGGAAGUGAAAUCUAUGGGCUCAACCCAUAAACUGCUUUCAAAACUGUUUUUCUUGAGUAGUGCAGAGGUAGGCGGAAUUCCCGGUGUAGCGGUGGAAUGCGUAGAUAUCGGGAGGAACACCAGUGGCGAAGGCGGCCUACUGGGCACCAACUGACGCUGAGGCUCGAAAGUGUGGGUAGCAAACAGGAUUAGAAACCCGGGUAGUCC
rnacentral:rRNA from 1 species